AGAACCUGAAACCGUGUACGUACAAGCAGUAGGAGCACCUUCGUGGUGUGACUGCGUACCUUUUGUAUAAUGGGUCAGCGACUUAUAUUCAGUGGCAAGGUUAACCGUAUAGGGGAGCCGUAGCGAAAGCGAGUCUUAACUGGGCGCUCAGUCUCUGGAUAUAGACCCGAAACCGGGUGAUCUAGCCAUGGGCAGGUUGAAGGUUGAGUAACAUCAACUGGAGGACCGAACCGACUAAUGUUGAAAAAUUAGCGGAUGACUUGUGGCUAGGGGUGAAAGGCCAAUCAAACUCGGAGAUAGCUGGUUCUCCCCGAAAGCUAUUUAGGUAGCGCCUCGGACGAAUACUACUGGGGGUAGAGCACUGUUAAGGCUAGGGGGUCAUCCCGACUUACCAACCCUUUGCAAACUCCGAAUACCAGUAAGUACUAUCCGGGAGACACACGGCGGGUGCUAACGUCCGUCGUGGA
rnacentral:rRNA from 1 species